rnacentral:rRNA from 1 species
UACGGGGGGGGCAAGCGUUGUUCGGAAUUACUGGGCGUAAAGGGCUCGUAGGCGGCCAACUAAGUCGGACGUGAAAUCCCCAGGCUCAACCUGGGAACUGCGUCCGAUACUGGAUGGCUUGAAUCCGGGAGAGGGAUGCAGAAUUCCAGGUGUAGCGGUGAAAUGCGUAGAUAUCUGGAGGAAUACCGGUGGCGAAGGCGGCAUCCUGGACCGGCAUUGACGCUGAGGCUCGAAAGCAUGGGGAGCAAACAGG